GAUGAACGCUGGCGGUAUGCCUAACACAUGCAAGUCGUACGGAAAAGAAAUUUUUAGUGGCGAACGGGUGAGUAACGCGUGAGAAUUUGCUUCUAGGUAGAGGAUAACCAAUAGAAAUAUUGGCUAAAACUCUAUAAUUCUAUUAAAAAAAUAGCUAAAAAAAGAAAUUUGCCUAGAAAAAAGCUCGCGUCUGAUUAGCUAGUUGGUAAGGGAAAGGCUUACCAAGGCGACGAUCAGUAGCUGAUUUGAGAGGAUGAUCAGCCACACUGGAACUGAGACACGGUCCAGACUCCUACGGGAGGCAGCAGUGAGGAAUCUUCUGCAAUGGGCGAAAGCCUGACAGAGCAAUACCGCGUGAGGGAAUAAGAAGGCCUAUGGGUUGUAAACCUCUUUUCUACAGGAAGAAACAAAUGACGGUACUGUAGGAAUAAGCCACGGCUAACUCCGUGCCAGCAGCCGCAGUAACAC
rnacentral:rRNA from 1 species